rnacentral:rRNA from 1 species
AUUGAACGCUGGCGGCAUGCCUUACACAUGCAAGUCGAACGGAUCUAGGGGCUUGCUCCUAGGUUAGUGGCGAACGGGUGAGUAAUGCAUCGGAACGUACCCAGUCGGGGGGGAUAACGUAGCGAAAGUUACGCUAAUACCGCAUACGAUCUGAGGAUGAACGCGGGGGACCUUCGGGCCUCGCGCGAUUGGAGCGGCCGAUGUCGGAUUAGCUCGUUGGUGAGGUAAAGGCGCACCAAGGGGACGAUCCGUAGCUGGUCUGAGAGGACGACCAGCCACACUGGAACUGGGACACGGUCCAGACUCCUACGGGAGGCAGCAGUGGGGAAUUUUGGACAAUGGGCGAAAGCCUGAUCCAGCCAUGCCGCGUGAGUGAAGAAGGCCUUCGGGUUGUAAAGCUCUUUCAGACGGAAAGAAAUCUCCUGGGUGAAUAUCCCGGGAGGAUGACGGUACCGUAAGAAGAAGCACCGGCUAACUACGUGCCAGCCGCCGCCGUAA